CUUGAAUCCCCCUUGGAUUGACUCAUCUCACUGCUCAUUAGGUCCACCUGCUUGGGGCAUAACUGUGGUGUAACUCCACUCUCUCUUAAAUGGCUGAGGAUCCCAGCUGGGCCAGCACAUGCUGCCUGCUGACACUAUGGAAGUCUGUGGUGACAGUCCCUGAAAUUCCUGUAUCAGUCAAGAGUGAUGAUGAGGUAGUUAGAUGGUAACUGUACUUGAGACUUGUAAUGAACAAACUGCAAGAAAAAUCAGUGAUUCAAAGCAGAAGACAAGACUCUCUACAGCUGAGGUUCCUCUUUCUACUCUCGAGCCCCAAGGCAGUAUCAUAAGAGACAGUAACAUGGUGGCUUCUGAGUGAGAUUUGUGUAUCUGAAUUGCAAAGUGAAGAUCCUAAAGAAGCAGUGGAGUGGAAGGACCGUUGUUGGGAUGGGAUGAUGAGAGAGCUGUCUACAGGACUGACUCACUAAUGCGCGCAUGGACUUUACCAGAAGUUUCACCUCUCAAAUACUGUAAUAGUAGGUUGUAUUUGGGGGGCAGCUCGUGCAAGAACAAGGUUUAUGGGUGCUGGACUAAUGAAGAAAGGGAGAAAAUGGGAAAUCCAAACUCCUAGCCUGGAAGACAGUCUGAACAACCAGUACAAUAGGAAGGCACAAUCCAGAAAGACACGGUGGCAGCACAGUCCGUCCAAUUUUCAAUGGAUGUAAAUAAUCCCUGUUACAGGAAGUGUGGAGUCUUCCAGAUGUUUCAUCUCUAGUUUUCUCCAGAGGAAUGACGUGCCCCUGGCAGAAGCGAAGGUGAAGGUAAGCAUUUCCAUUUGUAAUAAGCCACCAAUCUUGGAGGCUGCAGUCAGGAUUCAGAGAGAGAACCCACGGAGUGCCUAGGACAUAUUUGGCCUUGACAAAGUUUUACUUUCCAGCUUCUCCAUUUGUAGUGGAUUGACAGCUGGUUUCAAAUGUCUCAUAUUUAACUUUUCUGUUUUUCUUAAUCUGUGGAUUCUUUUCUGGAACUUCCUGUGCAUAGCAAAAACCUGUCGUGGUCCAGUGAGACCCUCUGCCUCUCACAGUGCAGAAUCAGACCCAGUAAUCAUGGCUGCUAUGCUUUAUUCCCUACCCAAAACAGGCAUCUUUUGAGAGGAAGGGUGACAGGAUGAUGAUUUCUUUUUGUAAGCAGAUGCGAGGAACAUGAAAAAAAAUUUUUAAUAGCCAAUCCAAAAAUGACUAGAGGCACUAUUUUGCAAUACAGAGUGUACGACCUAGUAAAUCCAAACCUCUCUAAUGUAACAUAGCUAUUCUUCCCUACCUCUCUUUUUGUCUGAAAAAAAAAAGGUCAAUUUUGUAUUUAAGAAACACUAUCAAAGAUUUAAAGAUUGUACCAUUGGCCAUAGUUCAAACAAUACAGGCAGGAAAGAAUGUACAGCUGUCAAGUGUAAACAGAAAUGGGUACAGCUCAGAAGUGCUUCAGACAAAUCACUGUAUGUCAUCGGCUGGUUUUAAUUAACA
ensembl:lncRNA